AUUGAACGCUGGCGGCAGGCCUAACACAUGCAAGUCGAACGAGUGGCGGACGGGUGAGUAAUGUCUGGGAAACUGCCCGAUGGAGGGGGAUAACUACUGGAAACGGUAGCUAAUACCGCAUACCAUCGGAUGUGCCCAGAUGGGAUUAGCUAGUAGGUGGGGUAACGGCUCACCUAGGCGACGCUCCCUAGCUUGUCUGAGAGGAUGACCAGCCACACUGGAACUGAGACACGGUCCAGACUUCUACGGGAGGAAGCAGUGGGGAAGAUUGCACAAGGGGCGCAAGCCUUAUGCAGACAUGCCGCGUGUAUGAAGAAGGCCUUCGGGGUGUAAAGUACUUGCAGCGAGGAGGCGUUACUCGCAGAAGAAGCACCGGCUAACUCCGUGCCAGCCGCCGCGGUAAGUC
rnacentral:rRNA from 1 species